rnacentral:rRNA from 1 species
CUACGGGAGGCAGCAGUGGGGAAUAUUGGACAAUGGGGGAAACCCUGAUCCAGCAAUGCCGCGUGUGUGAAGAAGGCCUGCGGGUUGUAAAGCACUUUCGGUUGGGAGGACUGCUUCUAGCACUAAUAUUGUUGGAAGUUGACGUUACCUUCAGAAGAAGCACCGGCUAACUCCGUGCCAGCAGCCGCGGUAAUACGGAGGGUGCAAGCGUUAAUCGGAAUUACUGGGCGUAAAGCGCGCGUAGGCGGCUAGAUCAGUCGGGUGUGAAAGCCCCGGGCUUAACCUGGGAACUGCAUCCGAUACUGUCUAGCUCGAGUACAGGAGAGGAGAGUGGAAUUCCACAUGUAGCGGUGAAAUGCGUAGAUAUGUGGAGGAACACCAAUGGCGAAGGCAGCUCUCUGGCCUGAUACUGACGCCGAGGUGCGAAAGCGUGGGGAGCAAACAGGAUUAGAUACCCUUGUAGUC